GGCAAUUUCACUGGAGAGGCAGUUUGAUUUACUUUCUCUAUGACUUCUCUGUGUUGUAAUAAAUGUAAAGAUUCAGAAUCCAAAUCAGAAGAAAUAUUUUCCUAUCAAGUCUGAAGCAGGGAAGGUUCAAGGCAUUGAGUGACUUGCACCGUGGGACGACUUGGUAGUUUCUUCAAGAACAGCAUCUAUUUGCCUCAAAAACUCCUUACCUCUAGUUUUGUGUAUUUUGUGGUUAGGACUAAAUUCUCUUCUGAAGAGAAUUAUCUUUGUGUACAAAGAAAGAAUUGCUUUUCUUAGCAACUAUAAGUACCCUAGUAAACACCCUGAUUCAGAUUAAAGGCUCAAAGCACUUUCCUCAGAACAUGCCUUAUUUCCCUUAUUUUAGCUGCAUGCUGCUAGAAGCACGAGGUGGUCUUAUACACUCUGGAUGAGCAUACCCAGAAUGGCUUUGGCCUGAAAGAAAUGGAAUAAUCUUUAUUUUCCUCUCUUCCUUGGCUGUCAUAGUUACUCUUUCCACAUCAAUUCCCUCUGUUGGAUCAGGACUACUGUGGUUCUAUGGACACGCCUCUGGCCCUUCCAACCCGGUGUGUGGGUGGGCCUUAUGGAGGACUGCUGCUCAAGAGCACAGUUAGGAGCCAGAGCACUCACACAUCCUUGGAUCAUCAGCCCCAGCCACAUCAAGCAAAAGUUCUGUCGCAGGAAUGGAAGUGAGCAGUGGGAGGAAUUUAGAUAAGGAAGUCUGAUGCAGUAUGUAAACAGGAACUCCAUGGGAACAGCCUUUUCUCAAAUGCUUUUCAAAAUCCCCCCUCUGGAAACCUCAGUGUUGCAUGUGAAUUUCAGUUCCACCUUUGGAAACAUUUCAGCAUUUAACAUUUCUCCUUCAGUCAGAGAUCUUCUUCUGAUGCACCAUGCUUUACACACUAUAAUGUCAAGUGAAGUUAGCAAAUGA
rnacentral:lncRNA from 1 species